AGUCCUACGGGGGGCAGCAGUGGGGAAUAUUGCACAAUGGGGGAAACCCUGAUGCAGCGACGCCGCGUGAGUGAAGAAGUAAUUCGUUAUGUAAAGCUCUAUCAGCAGGGAAGAAAAUGACGGUACCUGAGUAAGAAGCCCCGGCUAACUACGUGCCAGCAGCCGCGGUAAUACGUAGGGGGCAAGCGUUAUCCGGAUUUACUGGGUGUAAAGGGAGCGUAGACGGCAGUGCAAGUCUGGAGUGAAAGGCGGGGGCUCAACCCCCGGGACUGCUCUUGGAACUGCGUGGCUAGAGUGCAGGAGGG
rnacentral:rRNA from 1 species